GACGAACGCUGGCGGCGUGCUUAACACAUGCAAGUCGAACGAUGAAGCUGGAGCUUGCUCCGGUGGAUUAGUGGCGAACGGGUGAGUAACACGUGAGCAAUCUGCCCUUGACUCUGGGAUAACUGCGGGAAACUGUAGCUAAUACCGGAUAUGAGGCUUGGAGGCAUCUCCAGGUCUGGAAAGAAUUUCGGUCAAGGAUGAGCUCGCGGCCUAUCAGCUAGUUGGUGAGGUAAUGGCUCACCAAGGCGACGACGGGUAGCCGGCCUGAGAGGGUGACCGGCCACACUGGGACUGAGACACGGCCCAGACUCCUACGGGAGGCAGCAGUGGGGAAUAUUGCACAAUGGGCGAAAGCCUGAUGCAGCAACGCCGCGUGAGGGAUGAAGGCCUUCGGGUUGUAGACCUCUUUUAGCAGGGAAGAAGCGAAAGUGACGGUACCUGCAGAAAAAGCACCGGCUAACUACGUGCCAGCAGCCGCAGUAA
rnacentral:rRNA from 1 species